rnacentral:rRNA from 1 species
CCUACGGGUCGCUGCAGUGGGGAAUAUUGGACAAUGGGCGAAAGCCUGAUCCAGCCAUGCCGCGUGUGUGAAGAAGGCCUUCGGGUUGUAAAGCACUUUCAGUGGGGAAGAAAGCCUUGGGGCUAAUACCCUCGAGGAAGGACAUCACCCACAGAAGAAGCACCGGCUAACUCCGUGCCAGCAGCCGCGGUAAUACGGAGGGUGCGAGCGUUAAUCGGAAUUACUGGGCGUAAAGCGCGCGUAGGCGGUCUGAUAAGCCGGUUGUGAAAGCCCCGGGCUCACCCUGGGAACGGCAUCCGGAACUGUCAGGCUAGAGUGCAGGAGAGGAAGGUAGAAUUCCCGGUGUAGCGGUGAAAUGCGUAGAGAUCGGGAGGAAUACCAGUGGCGAAGGCGGCCUUCUGGACUGACACUGACGCUGAGGUGCGAAAGCGUGGGUAGCAAACAGGAUUAGAUACCCCAGUAGUC